CCCUUAGAUGUCCUGGGCCGCACGCGCGUUACACUGAUGCAUUCAACGAGCUUAUAACCUUGGCCGAGAGGCCUGGGCAAUCUUGUUAACGUGCAUCGUGAUAGGGAUAGAUUAUUGCAAUUAUUAAUCUUGAACGAGGAAUUCCUAGUAAACGCAGAUCAUCAAUCUGCAUUGAUUACGUCCCUGCCCUUUGUACACACCGCCCGUCGCACCUACCGAUUGGAUGGUCCGGUGAAGCCUCGGGAUUGUGGCGGUUGCCUUUAUUGGUGUCCGCCGCGAGAACUUGUCUAAACCUUAUCAUCUAGAGGAAGGUGAAGUCGUAACA
rnacentral:rRNA from 1 species